GAUCAUGGCUCAGGACGAACGCUGGCGGCGUGCCUAACACGUGCAAGUCGAACGGAGAUGUUUAUUUCGGUAGACAUCUUAGUGGCGCACGGGUGAGUAACGCGUGAAUAACCUGACCCGAAGAGGGGGAUAACACCUGGAAACAAGUGCUAAUACCGCAUAAGACCACGGACCGGCAUCGGUCAGAGGUCAAAGGAGAAAUCCGCUUUGGGAGGGGUUCGCGUCCCAUUAGGUAGUUGGUGAGGUAACGGCCCACCAAGCCG
rnacentral:rRNA from 1 species